GCCCGACAUUGGCUGGAAACUGGAGCAGCGCGGCGGGGACGGUCGAUGCCGAUCGAUCGCGGCGCGGGCGGCACCGCACGGCACGGCACCGCACGGCUCCGCACGGCACCGGCACCGCGGUGUCCCCGCCGGGGCUGCGCGGCCCCCCGGGACCGGCACCGGGCAGGGGGUGAAGCCAGCGCCGCAUUUGCAGGGCCAGGGAUGCGGUGAUGGGGUACAGCGGCGGACACGGACACAGCAUCAGCAUCUCUCCUGCCCCGGGCUGGGGAUCCGCCGGAAUCCUGCGCUGCGGGAUGCCCGGUCCCUGCUGGAGCACGGAGAGCUGCUUUUUGCCGAGUUUGCCGUUAAUUAAUGGCAGAAGGAGCUGACGGGGCGGCUCGGCAGCGCUCAGGAAGGGGGUCAGCCCUGGAGCUGGCACUUCUGCACGGAUAUCCCCUGCCCACAGCGUCUGAAGUCGCACCAAAGUUUCGCCAGGUUUUGCUCUUGUUUGACAGUGAUUUCAAUAAUAAUGCUGGAGGGUCCUGUGGCGGCAGGAGUCCCGAGGAGCUGAGCAUCCCCUGGGGAGGGGCGGAGUGGGGGGCGGCAUGUAAAUCCAGGAGAUUGUGAAGAUUUGGUAAGAAAAAAAAAACAAAACAAACAAAAAAAAAAAACCACCAAAAAAAACGGCUGAAUAAAAUGCGAAACCGUGCUCCUGGA